rnacentral:rRNA from 1 species
GAUGAACGCUAGCUACAGGCUUAACACAUGCAAGUCGAGGGGAAACGACAUCGAAAGCUUGCUUUUGAUGGGCGUCGACCGGCGCACGGGUGAGUAACGCGUAUCCAACCUGCCCAUCACUUGGGGAUAACCUUGCGAAAGUAAGACUAAUACCCAAUGAUAUCUCUAGAAGACAUCUGAAAGAGAUUAAAGAUUUAUCGGUGAUGGAUGGGGAUGCGUCUGAUUAGCUUGUUGGCGGGGUAACGGCCCACCAAGGCAACGAUCAGUAGGGGUUCUGAGAGGAAGGUCCCCCACAUUGGAACGGAGACACGGUCCAAACUCCUACGGGAGGCAGCAGUGAGGAAGAUUGGUCAAUGGGCGAGAGCCUGAACCAGCCAAGUAGCGUGCAGGAAGACGGCCCUAUGGGUUGUAAACUGCUUUUAUAAGGGAAUAAAGUGAGAGUCGUGACUCUUUUUGUAUGUACCUUAUGAAUAAGGACCGGCUAAUUCCGUG